CCUGUGUGCGCCUGUCCCUGUCAUCUUCUUCGGCAGGCGCACUGUCUUCAGUUCCCCAAAGGUGCUAGAGACAAAACGCCAGCAUCAGAGCCUGCUGCUAGCUGUGGAUGCUCGGUGCAUGGUAAGCAGCUGAGGGUCCGGAGAAAGGCGAGGAAAAUAAUUAAAAGGUGGAGAAAGAAGCUGGAGAAGAAGAAAGGGACGAAUUGUCUGUGAAUACUUCUGGAAAUGGUGGAGGCUUCAGGAAACUGUCCUUGCUGCCAUCACCCCAGCUACCAAGGAGGACCUGUGGCCUGCCAGCUCUGCAAGCCGUCACCCUGAAAUAUACAAUGCUGGGGUCAACAGUGUCACCGCCUCUGGUCAGUAGAUGAGAAAUCCAAGGGACAAAGAGCAAAAGUGGCUGGAUUCAAGGCACAGGCGAGUUCCUGUCCUUGGUCCCCAGGGACAGUGCUGGUCAGUGAUGCUCCAGGUGCCUUUGUGAUGAAGGAUCAUGGAAGACCAACACUAACGAUGGCAGAGGGAUAGACAGAAUUAAGAAGCAAAAAGAAGGGUGGGGAUGAAAAAAAAAAAUCGAUGAAGUACCUUUCGCUCUGUGGAGAUAAGCGACAUUAAAUAUCAGCCGUUAUGAA